rnacentral:misc_RNA from 1 species
AAGUCGUAACAAGGUAACCGUAGGUGAACCUGCGGUUGGAUCAUUAUCACGUUAUCCACGUUAUCAACCAACGCGAACCCCAACGGCUUAUUUUCCAGGAAGCAAUUCCAAAAAAAUUCGCCUUUCUUCAGAAGUAAAUGAGAAAAGAAUUUCGAUUUAUUUCGAUUUUUUUUAAUCGUUUAUUUCUGAGGAUAAAACUCUUGAUUAACUAUCAACACCCCUUUUAUACUUUAUGUACUGAACUGUUUCUUCCUCUCUCGUGUAACAGCGAUGGAGAAGAAAACAAAAUACGAAACAAAGAACAACUCUUAGCAACGGAUAUCUUGGUUCUC